GAUGAACGCUGGCGGCGUGCCUAAUACAUGCAAGUCGAGCGAAGCGGGGAGGGGGGAGUAACACGUGGAAAAAACGCUAUAAGACGGGGAAAACUUAGGGAAACCGGAGCUAAAACGGAUACUUAGAGAUGGAGGCGCGAUGCAUUAGCUAGUUGGUAGGGUAACGGCUCACCAAGGCAACGAUGCAUAGCCGACCUGAGAGGGUGAUCGGCCACACUGGAACUGAGACACGGUCCAGACUCCUACGGGAGGCAGCAGUAGGGAAUCUUCCGCAAUGGGCGAAAGCCUGACGGAGCAACGCCGCGUGAGUGAAGAAGGUCUUCGGAUCGUAAAACUCUGUUAUUAGGGAAGCGGUACCUAAUCAGAAAGCCCCGGCUAACUCCGUGCCAGCAGCCGCGGUAAUUC
rnacentral:rRNA from 1 species